AAAAUGUUCCAGCACAAAAUAACAAGGAGUGUCUGACUCUGACAGUAAAUAUUCAUAUCAGAUGCUUUAAAUAGUGCUGCAUAUACAUAUAAGGUGUUAGUUCUACAGUUCAGGAUAGUUCAGUUCUCACCUACUCAUCAUGUUGAAGCUGAUCCUCUCUGUGACCGUCCUCUGGACAUUCUUCAGUCAAGCUGCAGCACUUGAUUGUCUAAGUUGCAAUGGUACAUGUUCAACUGAAACUACAGUUACAUGUUCUACAGAAACUAUGUGUGUAACUGCCACCAUCACAGACACAGCAUCUGGUUCAUCUGACACACGAUACUACAAAGCGUGUGCAUCAUCAGAUCUGUGUCCAAUGACAGGCUCUCAAACAUAUGAACUUGACUUGGUUGUUUCAGGUGCACUGAUAUCUGCUGAGUGCUGUGACACUAAUGGGUGUAACAAUAAUACCUUACCUGCACAUACACAGUCACAGACUCUAAAUGGUCUCCGGUGUUUAUUCUGUGCUUUCGGCCGAUGUGAUCUUUCACUUGCCUGUAUGGGAGACGAGACGCUGUGUAUUCAAGGAACAUUGAACGAUGAAGCUUAUGGCUGUGUAUCACCAAGUGUGUGUACUGCAAGUAGAAGGCUGGGAGAAAUACCAUUAUUACCAGAGUUAGGAACCUUCAGCUCUGGACCAAACUGUUCUCAUACAGAUGUAUGUAGUGAUGGAACAACUACCACACCUCCAACCACAACUACCACACCUCCAACUACAACUACCACACCUCCAACUACAACUACCACACCUCCAACCACAACUUCCACACCUCCAACCACAACGACCACACCUCCAACUACAACUACCACACCUCCAACUACAACUACCACACCUCCUACUACAACUACCACACCUCCAACCACAACUACCACACCUCCCACUACAACUACCACACCUCCCACUACAACUACCACACCUCCCACUACAACUACCACACCUCCAACUACAACUACCACACCUCCAACCACAACUACCACACCUCCCACUACAACUACCACACCUCCCACUACAACUACCACACCUCCAACUACAACUACCACACCUCCAACCACAACUACCACACCUCCUACUACAACACGUGAGUUUAGUUCAUACAGUUUAAAAAUGGUUAAUUUUCAUAUUCUAUUCAAAUUUUGAUGUUUAAAAUAUAUUUAUUAUCAUCCUGUGAUUUUAUCUUCACUACAGCUGGAGGACUUAAAUGUCUAAGUUGCACUGGUUCAUGU
rnacentral:lncRNA from 1 species